rnacentral:rRNA from 1 species
AACGCUAGCUACAGGCUUAACACAUGCAAGUCGAGGGGAAACGACAUCGAAAGCUUGCUUUUGAUGGGCGUCGACCGGCGCACGGGUGAGUAACGCGUAUCCAACCUGCCCAUCACUUGGGGAUAACCUUGCGAAAGUAAGACUAAUACCCAAUGACGUCUCAAGAAGACAUCUGAAUGAGAUUAAAGAUUUAUCGGUGAUGGAUGGGGAUGCGUCUGAUUAGCUUGUUGGCGGGGUAACGGCCCACCAAGGCUACGAUCAGUAGGGGUUCUGAGAGGAAGGUCCCCCACAUUGGAACUGAGACACGGUCCAAACUCCUACGGGAGGCAGCAGUGAGGAAUAUUGGUCAAUGGGCGAGAGCCUGAACCAGCCAAGUAGCGUGCAGGAUGACGGCCCUAUGGGUUGUAAACUGCUUUUAUAAGGGAAUAAAGUGAGUCUCGUGAGGCUUUUUGCAUGUACCUUAUGAAUAAGGACCGGCUAAUUCCGUGCCAGCAGCCGCGGUAAUACGGAAGGUCCGGGCGUUAUCCGGAUUUAUUGGGUUUAAAGGGAGCGUAGGCCGGAGAUUAAGCGUGUUGUGAAAUGUAGAUGCUCAACAUCUGCACUGCAGCGCGAACUGGUUUCCUUGAGUACGCACAAAGUGGGCGGAAUUCGUGGUGUAGCGGUGAAAUGCUUAGAUAUCACGAAGAACUCCGAUUG